ensembl:lncRNA
CUCAGAUACUUUUAUCUCUUAUCUUUUUAAAACACACAGAGGAUGUAGAAAAACAUUGUCACUAAACUGUAUUGUACAUACAAACACAGGCAGAAUACACAAACACAGGCAGAAUACACAAGCACAGGCAGAACACACAAACACAGGCAGAAUACACAAACACAGGCAGAACACACAAACACAGGCAGAAUACACAAACACAGGCAGAACAUACAAACAGGCAGAAUACACAAACACAGGCAGAAUACACAAACAGGCAGAAUACACAAACACAGGCAGAAUACACAAGCACAGGCAGAAUACACAGGCAGAAUACACAAACACAGGCAGAAUACACAAACAGGCAGAAUACACAAACACAGGCAGAAUACACAAACACAGGCAGAAUACACAAACACAACCCUUCUACGGGUUUUACAUUCAUAAAAGAAACUCACCGCAUCACAUGAUUUACAUCAUUCUACAUAGUCCUAAUAAAUAUUAUCUGUUGACUAUGAAUAUAUAAUCUUUUAAACAUAUUUACAAUCAAGAUGACUUUAAUGGCCCUUAGCAGCCUACGUGUAGACUAGAUUACCAUCUGGUGGUCAUAUUCACAU